GUGACAUCAUAUGUACGGCUGCU
rnacentral:miRNA from 1 species